rnacentral:snoRNA from 1 species
GUAGUCGGUGAUGAUUUUUGUUUCCAGUUGGCCUGAUUUCUCUUAAGAACAUGAAGGCAACUUCAGUCACUACCUCUUCUGAGACAC